rnacentral:lncRNA from 1 species
CCUGUCCGGUUCCUGAGGACAAAGAGGAGUUCACUGUUUCCUGCCCCCAGAGGGAAGGGCUGGUCACGGUCCUUUGUUUCAAUCCGUACUGAAUCCCCUUCCAUAUGCAGGUACUUUGUGAGUGUAAUGAUCUUCUGUCUAGGACCAUCAAGGUUGGCAUGCCAACUGGGUAGGGCUUGCUGUGGACUUGUUGGCUGCCUUGUGUCCCCUUUUUGAUAGUCCUCCCUUCACGGUGUAAAAUAAAAGUGGAAUGGUACAGAUCCGAUGUAUGGCUGAUUUGUGUGAGUGUGUCAUGUUUGUACAAACUGAAUGAUUGGGAGGUGGGUUCCUGCAACAAUAUCUAUACAGGCAUAUAUCUGUAUAUGCAAUACAAGCCCCUUCGCACUGAGAUGCCUUUUUAGCUGUUGAGGGAGGAGAGAUGCUUCAUUGUGUAUAAGCCAGAAAAACUCACUGCGAGGUUCAGAGACCUGCUCUUCAAGACAGUGUUUGAGCAAAGAGAGAAGAAAUCAGGGGAGCCUCAUGUAAGCCACCACCUCCCUGAUACCUUCCAAUCUCGAACCAAAUUAUAUCCCUCUCUUUUGUGGCCUUCUAAAAACAAUAGCAAAAGGGAAGAAGGAUGGGUUUCCUCUCAGACCCUCCAAAUGUCCCUAUUUUCCAGGGACAUUCCUGGAGUUACAGAAGCCGUCCCAGUUUCUGAUUUGAUCCCAGCAGUGCCAGAUUUACAUAUAAGCUAAACAAGCUAUAGCUUAGGAAUGGGCCCCCCAAAAAAAUUUAAAGGAAAAAACACCUGGAUGUACAUUUCCUAAAUAUAAGAUAAAAAACAAAAAUGGCUUUAGAUAUCUAUUAGGUCCAUAAAUUACCAUAUAGCAUAUAUUCAACACAAAAAACAGCGGCAAUUUGUUGUUGACAAAGAACAGCUGGACAUAUAAGGGCCCCAUUACCUUCAGUAGCUUAGGGCCUCAUCAAACCUAAAUCCAGGCCUGGAUCCCAGAAUGUCCUGCGUUUCCUUAGGAUGUCCCUAUUUUCAUCGGAGAAAUGUUGGAGGGUAUGGAGUUAUGUGACCCCCCCCCAAGCCAAGGGGAUAAGUAACUAUGCAGCCUUUAGAAGACAUCUGAAGGUAGCCCUGUAUGGGGAAGAUUUUUUAAAAUGCUUAAUGUUUUAUUAUGUUUUAUAUAUUUUGGAAGACGCCCAGAGUGCCUGGGGCAACGCAGUCAUAUAGGCAGGGUAUAAACAGUAAAAAUGUUGUUGUUGUUGUUGUUGUUGUUAGUAGUAGUAGUGAAUAGGACGCCCCUAUUUUCAUUGGAGAAAUGUUGGCGGACAUCCCUCUGAGCCAGCCGCCCCCCCUUGCAAUAAUUUGUGCAUUAUUCCACGGUUAAGGCUCUCUUUCUUCGCAUAUGCACUUGAGUGAAGUAAGUCCAAGCAGAACACCAUGAGGCUUUCUUCUGAGUAAAAUGCACAUAGGCUCUGAACAGAUGUAGCAAAAAAGGUAGUUUUCUGCCCAAAUAACCUUUUUUCCUUUUAGACUUCACAAUACCAGAGAUAAUAGGUGCUCCUGGUGAAAGCACCUCUGUCCUUUUCAAUGGCACCCCUGCCCAUCUAUCUGUCGCUCUGUCUCCCUUUUUCUCUCAGCACACAGCUACACACAUGAAUGAUUGGUUGUUACAUUAAAUUUUCGAUCGAUGCAUCAAGCUACUGGGCACUGGACUCCCCGGAGAAUCUAUUCUCAUAAAACACUGUAUAUCUUUUUCCCUUUACACCGUUAACCUGUUACAAAUAAAUAAAAAAGUGAAUGGUUUUUAUUUGUGGUAUCUGUGUAUGAGAUAUGUGUAUACCUGCACACACGCUCUUCUACAACAUUUGUUUUCUCUGCGGAAGUGCUAGGUGCUGUCCAGAACAGAAGAUAGUAAGCGGAAGUAGUAGCAGAGAAUAUUGUUCCUGGUCCCAAGAGCUUAAGAGUAACACCCCGGGUGCCUAAAGUGGAAAUCCAUGGAAGAAAGUUGUAUUUUACCCUAAACUCUUCAAACACCCACUCUGCCUCAUUGGGAAAAGUUUCAAUGGUAGAACAACUGCUCUGCGUGAGGAAGACCCUUUAAAAACGUCUGGUUGGAUACAAGGGUCUUAAGGAGGAGUUUAAAGGGGGAACAAAAUCAAGAUGGGGUGUAUUCCAAAGUGUGAGUUCUGCUACACUAAAAGCUCUGCCCAUGAGUACUCAUUAAACAAUAUUUUGUGGGUAUGUGGCACCCACGAAAGGAUCCCGCUUGAGGAUCUAAGCAUUUGAGCAGGAGAACGUGACCUCUCAGGUAAGAAGGUCCUAGACUGUUUAGGACUUUAUACACUAACAGCAAAAACUAGUAGCCAGUUAGAAGCCAUCACAGCCGUGUUACACGCUGGCAGAAGAUCACUUCUAACAGCAUUCUGCGCUAGUUGCAACUUCUGGACCAACCUCAAGAUUAGCCCCACAAAGAGCAGGUUACAGUAAUCCAACCCACGAGGCUGCUGGACCACUACAACCAGGAGCGGUCACAGAUGCUAUACCGGCUGAAGCUAGCAGAAGAUGCUCCGAGUCACUUGGGCCUCUAGUGACAAAGAUGGUUCUAGGAGCACCUGCAAACCAUUAGUCAUGGGAGAUAAACAGAACUUCCACAUGCAGUGGCAGUGUACCUCUGAAUACUAGAUGUUGGCGAGAAACAGUGGGAACCCACCACUAUGUUCUGUCUGGC